AGCCUCAAGCUGGAUGGCCUCUCGCGAUCCUCUCUCCCUCUGAGCUUGGAAAACGAGACGUGGAACAGAAUCUCCUGCUGUUUUGGUCUUAUAACGAGAUGGGAAGCAGUUCCUGCUUAACAUCAGAAACAAUAUUUAGUGACUUCUACAAAUGUACCUGAUACAUACACACUAAUGCUUCAUAGGACUGAUUCCAGGGUGAAAUGUGUUCUGCAGAUGUAAAAUCUCCCAGGUUGCUUUCAGCUAAAUAAAAUAUUGAAGUGCAAAGGUUAUUACAAUGAAACUCAUAAUUAUACCAUACACAGAAAAAUACGUGGAAGAUGGAAAAGGAAUGCACUGCACCUCAGUUUCAUUAGCUUCAACCAGAAUAAAAGGUUAAGUCUUGUCUUGCUGAAGUCAACAGAUUUGGCACAGCAAUCUGAUGAUGAGCAGGCAGCUACUUUCCUGACACACUAGUUCCUCUACAAACAAUAUCAGUUGGUAUAGCUUCAAAGUUGGCAUUUUUUAAGCAUUAAAUAUAUGUUUAUGUAAAACAGCCACCAUCUCCUACACUAGGUGGGAAGUACUGCAAAUGUUAGUCAGUGAAAAAAAAUAGUGAAAGCUCUUGCGGUUGCCCCAGCAACAAAGACUCUUUCCAGCAGGCAUUUGCUGUAGCUUUCACGUCUCGUUGUUGCUGUACUUCUAUGUUUUGAGGUUUCAGCAAAGUGAUCAAAAUAUGUGUACUUUUUUACUGAAAAACAAAACAAAACAAAAAAGACUAAGUAUGUUGAAUAUUUUGCAUUUAUAGCAAAUUGAGAUUCAUGAUAUUCCUCACUUCAUUUUGUCCAUUAUCUGGCUUCUGAGAAGUAGGCAUGCUGCUGCCUAAGUAAUCUUUACAGCACAAGGUAAAGCUGAUUUCUCUGUGACCAAACUCCUUCAUCGUUGACCUGUUUGCUUGUUUUAAAGAAGAAUAUUGUUUUUUUAGCUAGGCUGCAUCACAAAAGUGUGUUUAAUGUCAGCGACUUCUAGACUGUGUUCUUUAUAACCCUGAUAUUUAGAAAAUGAAUUUAAAAUAGCAUAAUUGUUUCCUAAGACUGUUUUCAGUAAAAGCAGAUGGUUCCAGUUCCAUUC
rnacentral:lncRNA from 7 species